UACGUAGGGUGCAAGCGUUGUCCGGAAUUAUUGGGCGUAAAGAGCUCGUAGGCGGUUUGUUGCGUCGGCUGUGAAAUCCCGAGGCUCAACCUCGGGUCUGCAGUCGAUACGAGCAAACUAGAGUGUUGCAGGGGAGACUGGAAUUCCUGGUGUAGCGGUGAAAUGCGCAGAUAUCAGGAGGAACACCAGUGGCGAAGGCGGGUCUCUGGGCAGCAACUGACGCUGAGGAGCGAAAGCGUGGGGAGCAAACAGG
rnacentral:rRNA from 1 species